rnacentral:ncRNA from 2 species
ACUUCUCUGACGAUGAUCUUGGGG